UACGGUAGGUGGCAAGCGUUUGUUCGGAAUUAUUGGGCGUAAAGAGCGCGCAGGCGGUCGUUCAAGUCGAGUGUGAAAGCCCCCGGCUCAACUGGGGAGGGUCAUUCGAUACUGAUCGACUCGAAGGCAGGAGAGGGAAGUGGAAUUCCCGGUGUAGUGGUGAAAUGCGUAGAUAUCGGGAGGAACACCAGUGGCGAAGGCAGCUCGCUGGGACGUUACUGACGCUGAGACGCGAAAGCGUGGGGAGCAAACAGG
rnacentral:rRNA from 1 species